rnacentral:tRNA from 1 species
GGCAGCAUGGUCUAGUGGGUAGGGCACUGGGCUGGGACUCAGGAGGCCUGAGUUCAAUUCUCUGUUCUGCUG